UGAGGAAUAUUGGGCAAUGCCCGCAAGGGUGACCCAGCAACGCCGCGUGGAGGAUGAAUGUCGUAAGAUUGUAAACUCCUGUUAGAGGGGAAGAAUAGUACCGGUUGGACCGGUAUAUGAAUGUACCCUCAGAGAAAGCCCCGGCUAACUACGUGCCAGCAGCCGCGGUAAUACGUAGGGGGCAAGCGUUGUCCGGAUUUACUGGGUGUAAAGGGCGCGCAGGCGGGAUAAAAAGUCAGUGGUGAAAUCCUACAGCUUAACUGUAGAACUGCCUUUGAUACUUUUAUUCUUGAGUUCGGGAGAGAGAGACGGAAUUCCAGGUGUAGUGGUGAAAUACGUAGAUAUCUGGAAGAACACCAGUUGCGAAGGCGGUCUCUUGGUCCGACACUGACGCUGAGGCGCGAAAGCGUGGGGAGCAAACA
rnacentral:rRNA from 1 species